rnacentral:rRNA from 1 species
ACUUGUACCGACUGGAUGAGCAGCGAACGGGUGAGUAACGCGUGGGGAAUCUGCCUUUGAGCGGGGGACAACAUUUGGAAACGAAUGCUAAUACCGCAUAAAAACUUUAAACACAAGUUUUAAGUUUGAAAGAUGCAAUUGCAUCACUCAAAGAUGAUCCCGCGUUGUAUUAGCUAGUUGGUGAGGUAAAGGCUCACCAAGGCGAUGAUACAUAGCCGACCUGAGAGGGUGAUCGGCCACAUUGGGACUGAGACACGGCCCAAACUCCUACGGGAGGCAGCAGUAGGGAAUCUUCGGCAAUGGACGAAAGUCUGACCGAGCAACGCCGCGUGAGUGAAGAAGGUUUUCGGAUCGUAAAACUCUGUUGGUAGAGAAGAACGUUGGUGAGAGUGGAAAGCUCAUCAAGUGACGGUAACUACCCAGAAAGGGACGGCUAACUACGUGCCAGCAGCCGCGGUAAUACGUAGGUCCCGAGCGUUGUCCGGAUUUAUUGGGCGUAAAGCGAGCGCAGGUGGUUUAUUAAGUCUGGUGUAAAAGGCAGUGGCUCAACCAUUGUAUGCAUUGGAAACUGGUAGACUUGAGUGCAGGAGAGGAGAGUGGAAUUCCAUGUUGUAACCGG